UAAGGAAUAUUGGUCAAUGGACGCAAGUCUGAACCAGCCAUGCCGCGUGGAGGAUGAAGGUCCUCUGGAUUGUAAACUUCUUUUAUCUGGGACGAAACACUUCUUUUCUAAGAGGCCUGACGGUACCAGAUGAAUAAGCACCGGCUAACUCCGUGCCAGCAGCCGCGGUAAUACGGAGGGUGCAAGCGUUAUCCGGAUUCACUGGGUUUAAAGGGUGCGUAGGUGGGUAUGUAAGUCAGUGGUGAAAUCCCCGAGCUUAACUUGGGAACUGCCAUUGAUACUAUAUAUCUUGAAUACCGUAGAGGUAAGCGGAAUAUGUCAUGUAGCGGUGAGAUGCUUAGAUAUGACAUGGAACACCAAUUGCGAAGGCAGCUUACUAUGCGGUGAUUGACACUGAGGCACGAAAGCGUGGGUAGCAAACA
rnacentral:rRNA from 1 species